rnacentral:rRNA from 1 species
AUCAUGGAGAGUUUGAUCCUGGCUCAGAACGAACGCUGGCGGCGCGUUUUAAGCAUGCAAGUCGAACGGUAGAGAUCCUUCGGGGUCUUGAGAGUGGCGAACGGGUGAGUAACACGUAGAUGAUCUGCCUUGAAGUUGGGGAUAGCCCAUAGAAAUAUGGGGUAAUACCGGAUAAUCUCUUUUUACUUUGGUGAAUAGAGGAAAGGGGCUUCGGCCUCGCUUUAAGAUGAGUCUGCGGCUGAUUAGCUAGUUGGUAGGGUAAAGGCCUACCAAGGCGACGAUCAGUAGCCGGCCUGAGAGGGUGACCGGCCACAUUGGGACUGAGACACGGCCCAAACUCCUACGGGAGGCAGCAGCUAAGAAUCUUCCGCAAUGGGCGCAAGCCUGACGGAGCGACGCCGCGUGGACGAAGAAUGCCGAGAGGUUGUAAAGUCCUUUUAUUUGCGAAGAAUAAUAACCGUAGGUAAUGACGGUUAGAUGACGUUAGCUUAUGAAUAAGCUCCGGCCAAUUACGUGCCAGCAGCCGCGGUAACACGUAAGGAGCGAGCGUUGUUCGGAAUUAUUGGGCGU